UCAUUGCUCUGUCCUCUCCUCCUCCGCCCAGUGGAUGCUGAGCGGCAGCCUUGGCAGACACUUUAUUUCCCUGAGAACAGUGGAAGCUGUCUGCCGAGACCCUCCCUCUGCACUGGCUGGGCAGUGUUCCUGCUGCUGGAGUAUUUUCUUCUCGUUUUUCUGCCUUGAAAACCCUGACCUGGUGCCAGGUAACAUGAGCGUGUUCCUCUGCUGAGACAGGAUCACACUGGAUCUCCGUGUCUCUUGCUGGCCUGGGAGGUGCCUGGAGACAGGGGCUGUCCUGAGCCCCCAGGAACCUUGGUGCCUUGCACAAGGCCUGGAAAUCCCACACAGGCUUUAUGGUACCUUGGAAGAAACAAAAGCUUUACAGAGAACGGGCUGGCUGGGCAGCGGGGCCCAACUCCCUCCUCAACUCUCUUUCCCCUGCUCUGGAGUCUUGCUUUUCUUUCUCUGGUUUUUCUUAAACACACAAAGCACUAAAAGGUACUGCAUUGAGACUUCCUCUGACUUCUCUCCUCCCUCCUCACAAAGGCAGUUUGCUGUGCGGGUGUGAGUUAGGUCUCCUUCCCUUCUCCCUUCCUCUCUCCCUGACAGGAUGUCUCUGACUUGGUCUGGCUCCAGCCAUCCUCUCCUAGAAGCGAAAAGAAAGUGAGGGGGCGAGUCUGGGAAGACAAUCUCGAUGUUACUCAGAAGGCGGCAUUUUGUUCCAGCAGCUCCAUGGGCCCGUGAUCGUGAAAAGCUUCCACAGCUCCCCUCACUUGGAGGAUCAAAUUUAUGGUUUUCUGCUGGCUUUUCUUCCUGGCAGACCCAGCCAACUGGGCAGAGGUUUAGAAUUCUGGAGCGCUUUGGAAUUAACUCAGGGAACAGCCUAUCUAAUUUGCUGAUUUACUCGACUUGACCCAAAUGAAUUUCUAUGUAAACAAAAUUCAUGAAAAAAAUCCUUUGAAUAAUUCUAUUAAAUAAAAUGCCAGGUUUUA